rnacentral:lncRNA from 1 species
GGGGCCUCUAAAAAAGCUCAAAAAUCGCACAUCUCUUUUAAAAAAAUAAAUUUUGCACAUAAAAGAGGGAAACGAGCGGAUCGCCUUCCUCUAUAAGUUCAUCCAUUCCAUCCAACCAUUCCAAUCGACAAUCGUCUUCUCCACAGACGACACUCCAAUCCAGUCAUCCAGAAGGCAGAAUUAAUCUGCAGGUUGGGCGAAAUCCUCAUGUGCGAAAUCCGCAGGUUGGGCAUUUCUCCAUCCAUUAUAUGAAUUAUGAUUUUAUUGAUUUUCGAGAAGUGUAAAUUCAAUUUUUUAGUGAUUUUUAAUGGAAUUAUUUAUUUGGACAUAUUUUUUAUGAUAGUUUCAUGUUCCAUUUCAUUAAGAGUAUGGAUUACUAAUUCUGUGAUUCAAUUUUACUCUAUCACAAUUGACAAUUCAUCCAAUUCUUUUACGGUAUUAUUUCGAAUUACUGCCUCAUAAAUGAUAGUCUUUAUGCUAGUCAUGUUAAAUAAUAUUUUUAUUACUGAAGGCCCUUAUUGAUGUUGUAACACGUAGAUUUGUGGUGGUUGUUGGGUGAAGGUUUAUGGAGUUUUCUUUUGGGUUAUCUUUUUGGCUACUGGUAAUUUGAAAUUAUUUAUGGAUUAUGGUUUUGGUUUGAAAGAAUUUAUGCUCCGGUUCUCUCAUUUUUCUUUUGUCUCAAAAGCCUCAUUUGAGAACCCUAGUUUGUCUUUUCUACCUCAUCAUCUCAUGUUUUCUUCUUCUUCUUUUCUCUUAGCUGUGCCCAUUUUACCUUUCUUAUAUGUUGAAUGGUUGUGAUCUAUUUUGAUUCUUGAAGUAAUGAAUUUACUUUUUUGGCAAUAGGAUUUUAGUGGUUAUUUUAUAUUCAAUACAAAUUUUUAUUUUGCU